rnacentral:rRNA from 1 species
UACGAAGGGGGCUAGCGUUGCUCGGAAUUACUGGGCGUAAAGGGCGCGUAGGCGGCCCUGUUAGUCAGGCGUGAAAGUCCUGGGCUCAAUCUGGGAACUGCGCUUGAUACGGCAGAGCUAGAGGAUGGAAGAGGCUCGCGGAAUUCCCAGUGUAGAGGUGAAAUUCGUAGAUAUUGGGAAGAACACCGGUGGCGAAGGCGGCGAGCUGGUCCAUUACUGACGCUGAGGCGCGACAGCGUGGGGAGCAAACAGG